rnacentral:lncRNA from 1 species
UACACAGUUAUACAAGGAAGUGCACGCCUAACGCUAAAAUAUGCUGCCGGCGGUCUGAUGAAACAUGCACGGAAUAAGUGUUCGGUCGACUUCGGGAAUGAUCUUCGUGCACAAUGUCUAGAAAAUGACAUCAUGUUCCACACAAUGUCAUGGUCUAUCAAAAUCUAUAGAGUUUGAUAACAACAUAAUGGUUCAAUGUUGCCGACUGGAUAACUCCACUUAUUGGACUCCGCCACAGAGUUGGUGGUCAGGGAUACCACCUGCUGAGCUUGUUGCGGACGAAGAGAGUGCAAUUGUGAUUUUAAAAAUACAGGGAAGGCAACAUGCUGCUGAAUUUGCAAGCUGGAUGAUAAUUCAUUAGCAGCUAAGCCCUUUAUAAGCGAUUUGUCACUAACACAUUUUGAUACCGUUCGCUUGGAAAGACAUCGAUCUUUUUGAAGUUUGUUUCUUUUUCGUCGAGC